rnacentral:rRNA from 1 species
UGAGGAAUCUUGCGCAAUGGGCGAAAGCCUGACGCAGCGACGCCGCGUGGAGGAUGAAGGUCUUAGGAUUGUAAACUCCUGUUAAGUGGGAAGAAAACUUUAUCUCUAAUAUAGAUAAAGCAUGACGGUACCAUUAGAGAAAGCACUGGCUAAUCUCGUGCCAGCAGCCGCGGUAAUACGAGAGGUGCAAGCGUUAUUCGGAAUUAUUGGGCGUAAAGGGUGCGUAGACGGCAUAUUAAGUCAACUGUUAAAUUCCCUGGCCUAACUGGGGGCAAGCGGUAGAAACUGAUUUGCUAGAGGAUGGAAGAGAGAAGUGGAAUUCUCGGAGUAGCGGUAAAAUGCGUAGAUCUCGAGAGGAACACCGAUGGCGAAGGCAGCUUCUUGGUCCAUAUCUGACGUUGAGGCACGAAAGCGUGGGGAGCAAACAGGAUUAGAUACCCCGGUAGUCC